GACGUCAAGUCCUCAUGGCCCUUACAUCCUGGGCCACACACGUGCUACAAUGGGGCGCACAGAGGGAAGCGAAAUCGCGAGAUGGAGCGGAUCCCCAAAGCGCCCCCAGUUCGGAUAGGAGUCUGCAACCCGACUCCUUGAAGCCGGAAUCGCUAGUAAUCGCGGAUCAGCAUGCCGCGGUGAAUACGUUCCCGGGCCUU
rnacentral:rRNA from 1 species